CGUACACAAAAAUGCACAUGCUGUGAGCUCGAUGAGUAGGGCGGGACACGUGGUAUCCUGUCUGAAUAUGGGGGGACCAUCCUCCAAGGCUAAAUACUCCUGACUGACCGAUAGUGAACCAGUACCGUGAGGGAAAGGCGAAAAGAACCCCGGCGAGGGGAGUGAAAAAGAACCUGAAACCGUGUACGUACAAGCAGUGGGAGCACGCUUAGGCGUGUGACUGCGUACCUUUUGUAUAAUGGGUCAGCGACUUAUAUUCUGUAGCAAGGUUAACCGAAUAGGGGAGCCGAAGGGAAACCGAGUCUUAACUGGGCGUUAAGUUGCAGGGUAUAGACCCGAAACCCGGUGAUCUAGCCAUGGGCAGGUUGAAGGUUGGGUAACACUAACUGGAGGACCGAACCGACUAAUGUUGAAAAAUUAGCGGAUGACUUGUGGCUGGGGGUGAAAGGCCAAUCAAACCGGGAGAUAGCUGGUUCUCCCCGAAAGCUAUUUAGGUAGCGCCUCGUGAAUUCAUCUCCGGGGGUAGAGCACUGUUUCGGCAAGGGGGUCAUCCCGACUUACCAACCCGAUGCAAACUGCGAAUACCGGAGAAUGUUAUCACGGGAGACACACGGCGGGUGCUAACGUCCGUCGUGAAGAGGGAAACAACCCAGACCGCCAGCUAAGGUCCCAAAGUCAUGGUUAAGUGGGAAACGAUGUGGGAAGGCCCAGACAGCCAGGAUGUUGGCUUAGAAGCAGCCAUCAUUUAAAGAAAGCGUAAUAGCUCACUGGUCGAGUCGGCCUGCGCGGAAGAUGUAACGGGGCUAAACCAUGCACCGAAGCUGCGGCAGCGACACUAUGUGUUGUUGGGUAGGGGAGCGUUCUGUAAGCCUGUGAAGGUGUGCUGUGAGGCAUGCUGGAGGUAUCAGAAGUGCGAAUGCUGACAUAAGUAACGAUAAAGCGGGUGAAAAGCCCGCUCGCCGGAAGACCAAGGGUUCCUGUCCAACGUUAAUCGGGGCAGGGUGAGUCGACCCCUAAGGCGAGGCCGAAAGGCGUAGUCGAUGGGAAACAGGUUAAUAUUCCUGUACUUGGUGUUACUGCGAAGGGGGGACGGAGAAGGCUAUGUUGGCCGGGCGACGGUUGUCCCGGUUUAAGCGUGUAGGCUGGUUUUCCAGGCAAAUCCGGAAAAUCAAGGCUGAGGCGUGAUGACGAGGCACUACGGUGCUGAAGCAACAAAUGCCCUGCUUCCAGGAAAAGCCUCUAAGCAUCAGGUAACAUCAAAUCGUACCCCAAAC
rnacentral:rRNA from 1 species